AGCAGGAGUUCGUGAAGUAAGUCCUUAAAAUCACAUCUGUUCACCUUAUGUGACGGGAAGGAGAGGCGACUUCUGAAGCAGGGUGAUUGAAAUGGAAAUACAUUCAAAUAAAUGGACUCUGGGCUCCACUUUGUUCUAAAUAACCUCUACUUAUUUACUAUUGGAACAAAAGUCCAUGGUAGAUGAAAGGCAUUAUGUGUGGAGUCAAACGAUGGGGUUAAAAUGGUAGCAUCCUGCCUCACCAUAGAAGCACCUCCAGUUCUAAUGGAGAGAUAGAGACAAUCUUUCUUACACAAGGCUCAUGAUAGCAACAUCCAGCUGCUUUCUUCAUAAGAAGACUAGGAAAGUACGAUGAAAACUAUGUGGAGAAAUAUAAACUUAAAGAAAUGCUAAAUAGUCCUAUGCAAGUCUGGCCUCUUCAAAACCAGGAUGUGGUGUCUUGGGUCUGUCCUAGCGCUACUCUGAAACUUGCACUUGGUGGUGCACCCAGUACGUGGACAGGCUUCAUUUUUCAAGUUCCAGCUUACAACCCACCACCACUAUUUCUGAUGUCUCUAGCUCCCAGAAGUCUCUUCCUCCUUUUGAUUCCGAUGGUUGUGGUUAACCUGACUCCAGCAUUAUUCAUCUCAAGCUACAGGAAUGUUGAGCACUACUUCCCCUUCACCAAAACAAGAAAAAAAUACAGAGCCUGCAAUGUGAUGGCAUUUGCCUUGCCUGAGGAACGAAGAGACAGUUUUUCCUCUCUCAACAAUCCUGCACAUUGAGAUCUGACCAGAGCAUUCUCAAGCUGAUUCCAAAUGCGUUCCCUGGAAAGGGGAGAGAAGACUUGCUCAUCCCCAUUGUCACUGAGUGGGAGAAUGUUCUGCCAAGUCUCCUGACAGAUUUCUUAGUCAAAGAGAAAAGGUCUGUAGUGCUUAGAAAACAAAGCUAUUUCAGGUUGCUUGGCUGUGAGCUGAUAAACAAGGCCUGAGGUGAGAAAUGCAAAAUGUGGGUGUGUGUACACACAUACCCACACACACAAGCAAGGGCCUCCGGUCAGUUGAAGACAGAACUGACAUACUUAGCAGUCAAGCCACAUUGCUUUCUUUCUGACCUGUUGGCUACAUAUUCAGUUGAUAGCUUCCUGCUACCUAUCACAAAACAAUAAAAAUCUUUUAAGAAGACA
rnacentral:lncRNA from 12 species